AUUGAACGCUGGCGGCAGGCCUAACACAUGCAAGUCGAGCGAGCGGCGGACGGGUGAGUAAUGUCUGGGAAACUGCCUGAUGGAGGGGGAUAACUACUGGAACCGGCAGCUAAUACCGCAUACCAUCAGAUGUGCCCAGAGGGGAUUGGCUGGGAGGUGGGGUAACGGCUCACCUAGGCGACGAUCCCUACCUGGUCUGAGAGUAUGACCAGCCAAACUGGAACUGAGGCACGGGCCAGACUCCUACGGGAGGCAGCAGUGGGGAAUAUUGCACAAUGGGCGCAAGCCUGAUGCAGCCAUGCCGCGUGUGUGAAGAAGGCCUUCGGGUUGUAAAGCACUUUCAGCGGGGAGGCGUUACCCGCAGAAGAAGCACCGGCUAACUCCGUGCCAGCAGCCGCGGUAAUAC
rnacentral:rRNA from 1 species